GUCGAGAAUCUUCCGCAAUGCGCGAAAGCGUGACGGAGCGACACCGCGUGAUGGAUGAAGUCCUUCGGGGCGUAAACAUCUUUUAUAAAGGAGGAAAUUUUUGACGUUACUUUAUGAAUAAGGGGCUCCCAAUCUCGUGCCAGCAGGAGCGGUAAUACGAGAGCCUCAAGCGUUAUCCGGAAUCAUUGGGCGUAAAGGGUGCGUAGGUGGUUUGAUUAGUCUCCCGUUAAAACUUCGAGCUUAACUCGAAAAGAGCGAGGGAAACGGUCAAACUAGAGUAUGUGAGAGGUGUGUGGAACUCAUGGUGUAGGGGUGAAAUCCGUUGAUAUCAUGGGGAACACCAAAAGCGAAGGCAGCACACUGGCACAUCACUGACACUGAGGCACGAAACCUAAGGUAGCGAAUGGGAUUAGAAACCCCGGUAGUCC
rnacentral:rRNA from 1 species